CGUGGGGGGAGUGAAGCAUUUCGGUGUGUAAACCCCUUUCGACCGGGAAGGAAUGCCUCGCAAGAGGAGUGACGGUACCGGUAUAAGAAGCCCCGGCUAACUACGUGC
rnacentral:rRNA from 1 species